rnacentral:lncRNA from 1 species
UUGAUACAGCCUUGCAGUUUCUACCCAGUUAUGCUCGUAUUCUCUCCACACGUGGCGUUGCUCCGGCACGUGGCACGUGGCCCCACUUGAGCGCGCUGCGACGGGGUGCAAGUGGCGCCACCAACAUCUGAAGCGCCAAAGUCAACCUCACCUGCACGCGGCGCGCCCUGCUCACACCGACGAGGCUCUGACGACUGUCUGACCUCUCAUUAUGAAAUUGAGAUGAUCUUUUAUAAGCCUUUUCAACUUCAUAGUUGGAGAUCAGGAUUUUCUUUUUGAUAUGUUUGAUUUUGUUUGCACAAACUCAUCAUUAUUUUAUUGUAACAAUACAAAGAAUACAAUCUUUGUAUUCGCGUCAACAAAUAAUGAUGAAUUUGGGAAUCGGUUUGCAAGAAAAGUUAAUGACAGAUCUACGGAUAUUUAGAGGAAAGAUGCCAUGGUAUAUUCUAUAGUAAUUAAGUAGGUUAAGCUUUUUACUCUUAUAGAAAAUGUAAGAGGGUUUUUAUUGUCACGAUAUUACAGUUUGCUAAGAUAUACGGGUAGAUAAUUAUAAUCUUUAGGUUAAGGAA